GAAGGCAGAGCUCAGCGGUAGAGUGUGUGCUUAGCACGCACAAGGUCCCGGGUUCAAUCCCCAGUCCCUCUG
rnacentral:tRNA from 1 species